AGGGUAGUAGUUAACUAUAACAUUUAAGUUGCAUUUAAAAAGUAUUGAAAUAUCAGUCUAUCUUA
rnacentral:tRNA from 1 species